rnacentral:rRNA from 1 species
GGGUGGUAAUGCCGGAUGCUCCAGUUGGAUGCAUGUCCUUCUGGGAAAGCUUUUGCGGUAUGGGAUGGGGUCGCGUCCUAUCAGCUUGAUGGCGGGGUAACGGCCCACCAUGGCUUCGACGGGUAGCCGGCCUGAGAGGGCGACCGGCCACAUUGGGACUGAGAUACGGCCCAGACUCCUACGGGAGGCAGCAGUGGGGAAUAUUGCACAAUGGGCGCAAGCCUGAUGCAGCGACGCCGCGUGCGGGAUGACGGCCUUCGGGUUGUAAACCGCUUUUGACUGGGAGCAAGCCCUUCGGGGUGAGUGUACCUUUCGAAUAAGCACCGGCUAACUACGUGCCAGCAGCCGCGGUAAUACGUAGGGUGCAAGCGUUAUCCGGAAUUAUUGGGCGUAAAGGGCUCGUAGGCGGUUCGUCGCGUCCGGUGUGAAAGUCCAUCGCUUAACGGUGGAUCCGCGCCGGGUACGGGCGGGCUUGAGUGCGGUAGGGGAGACUGGAAUUCCCGGUGUAACGGUGGAAUGUGUAGAUAUC